UGAGCAUGUGGUUUAAUUCGAAGAUACACGAAGAACCUUACCUGGCCUUGACAUGGUAGGAACCUUAAGAGAUUAGGGGUGCUAGCUUGCUAGAACCUACACACAGGUGCUGCACGGCUGUCGUCAGCUCGUGUCGUGAGAUGUUGGGUUAAGUCCCGCAACGAGCGCAACCCUCGUCCUUAGUUGCUAACAGUUCGGCUGAGCACUCUAGGGAGACUGCCUUCGCAAGGAGGAGGAAGGUGAGGACGACGUCAAGUCAUCAUGGCCCUUACGGCCAGGGCUACACACGUGCUACAAUGGGGCGUACAGAGAGCUGCGAUACCGCGAGGUGGAGCCAAUCUCUUAAAGCGUCUCUCAGUUCGGAUUGUUCUCUGCAACUCGAGAACAUGAAGCUGGAAUCACUAGUAAUCGCAGAUCAGCUAUGCUGCGGUGAAUACGUUCCCGGGUCUU
rnacentral:rRNA from 1 species